ACCGGUGAAGAUGCCGGUUAAGUGCAGUUAGACGAAAAGACCCUAGAAGCUUUACUAUAACUUUAUAUUGAGCAUGUUUUUUGACUGCGUAGAAUAGAUGGGAGAGGUCUGAUGUUUUCGGUUUCGGCUGAAAUCUACUCGACAGUGAAAUACCAUUCUUUUUGAAGGCAUGUUCUAACCAAUAUGGCAAAAACGUAUUGAGACAGUAUAUGGUGGAUAGUUUUACUGGGGCUGUACCCUCCUAAAAAGUAAAGGAGGGGUUUAAAGGUACUCUAGGCGCGAAUGGAAACCGUGCCGAUAGUGUAUAGGCACAAGAGUGCUUGACUGUAAGAGGUACAUCUCAAGCAGGUGGGAAACCAGAACUAAGUGAACCGACCACCCGUAUUAGACGCGGUGGAAGAUUAACGGAUAAAAGCUACUCUAGGGAUAGACUCUGCGAUAGAAAUAUUUAAAAGAGUCCUGUUGUCCCUUCGCGAAGUAAUUUGCGAUACAAAAACGGCUUAUAACGGUGGAAACGCGCGGAAGCGCAUAAUACCGUGGGAAGUCGAGAGAAAAAUGUAAUGAUGUUAUAAUGACAACGAUGGAAUUAACCAAACAGCAAAAAAGUGUUUUAAUUGGCACGAUUCUCGGUGAUGGUUUUUUACAAAAAACCGGAGAGAAGAAUGCCAGAUUAAGGUUAGAACAUAGUCAAAAGCAAAAGGAUUAUGUUUUAUGGAAAGGAAAAAUUUUCGGCAGAUUAUUUCAAGGCAAACCAAGUUUUCUUGAAAGAAUUCAUCCAAAGAGCAAGGAGACUUACAAGUAUUGUCGCUGGCAAUCAAAUGCAACUCCAGCUUUUGGAAAAUGGCGAAAGUAUUUUUAUCCAAAUGGAAAGAAAAUCAUUCCUAGUGAUAUAGGAGAUUUUUUGACCGAACCGAUAACGCUCGCUGUGUGGUAUAUGGAUGAUGGUUACUUUAACAAAAUAGAUAGAAAUAGUUAUAUUUACCUUGGUCGCGUAACGCGCGCCGAAGCAGAAAUAUUACAAAAAGCUAUUCAGAAAAAUUUUGCUAUUAUUGCUACCAUUUAUGAUAAGAAAAAUAAAGGAUUUGCUUUAUUUUUUGGAGUAAAUGAAACUAAAAAAUUUCAUACCCUCGUUCAUUCAUUUGUAAUUCCAUCAUUAACAUACAAACUCUUUGACCCCGUAACGACUUGAUCACUUUUUGUGGUCAGAGCGUUUGUCUUUUCGAACAAAGACGAAUGCUAACACGCCGACCCCUGCCUUCUGGUUUUUAUAAAAUCCAGAAGGCAGGGUGAUGAUAUAGUCUAUAUACUAGCCAUUAAAAUGAACAGGCUAGUUCCGCCCAAGAGUUCAUAUCGACGGCGGAGUUCGGCACCUCGAUGUCGGCUCACCUUAGCGCGGCGGUGGAGAAGCUGCCAAGCGUUUGGCUGUUCGCCAAUUAAAAAGGUACGCGAGCUGGGUUCAGACCGUACUGAAGCGGAAAAUAAUUUUUCGGCUGAAGUACAGUUUGAACCCUCAGAGGCUAAUUAUAAAAUUUAUGUUUUAGUUUUUUCGUUUAAGAAAAAGUAUAGUAGAACCCCGAAUCAGAGCAAAGCUUGGUACGGGGCAGGCCAAUCAAAUCACGGCGGUCCCGCCUUCUGGAAUUAAAAAUUCCAGAAGGCGGGAUGAAGUCGGGGUUAUCGGUAAAUUCCGAAUUUUCGGAUAAUACCGAGAAGAAAUUUAUUUUCUUUGUAGAGACUACAAACCGACCGUCCUGAAUAUUAUUGAAGGACGAACGUAUAGUCCAAUGCAAUGAGUAAUCAUUGAUAUCAUGCGUGAGACAGGUUGGUCUCCUAUCUACUGCACUCGUUGAUUCUUGAAAAGAUUUGCUCCUAGUACGAGAGGACCGGAGUGAACUGACCUCUGGUGUAUGUGCUGUUUUGCCAAAAGCAAUGCACAGUAGCUAUGUCGGGAAUGGAUAACCUCUGAAAGCAUCUAAGAGGGAAGCCAGCUUUAAGAUUAGGAAUCGUUAAGAACCGUGAGAGAUGAUCACGUUGAUAGGCUUUAAGUGUAAGCGCAGUAAUGCGUGGAGCUGAGAAGUACUAAUGUUUCGAUUCCUGUUAAGAA
rfam:Candidatus Nomurabacteria bacterium RIFCSPLOWO2_01_FTLL_36_16 rifcsplowo2_01_scaffold_4393, whole genome shotgun sequence.